rnacentral:sRNA from 18 species
GUCAACUGCCAACUACCCUAAAGGGUAGUGGCUUGUAAGAAAUUGCAAGUCGGUUGAAUAGCCUAAGUCUUAAAUGACUACGAUUAUUAAGAAUAUAUAGGUACUUCAAGAUACUUCUCUAGUCUUGAACACUACG